GAAAGUGUAUUAAAGUUAGGUAGUAAAAGAGGUCUUGAAACUUAAAGGAUUUGGCGGUGUUUUAAACUUACCAGAGGAACUUGUUUGUUGAUCGAUAUCACUCGUAAAAUCUCACUUGGAUUGUGGUUUGAAUAUCGUCGUGGUAAUAAUGUUUGUUAACUAUUGUUUUUGGUAAUUGUAUUUUUAAUAUCAGAUCAAGGUUCAGCUUAUGUCUAAGGUUCUAAUGAGUUACAAUAUGGAAAUAUAUUAUGGAUGGUAUCUAAGAUUAGGUACUUAAAAGUGGAUUUGGAAGUAUUUGAAAAUUAAUAAGUUUUUUUGAAUGAGCUCUAAAGCGUGC
rnacentral:rRNA from 1 species